rnacentral:rRNA from 1 species
ACAGGGAUUGCCCUAGUAACGGCGAGUGAAGCGGCAACAGCUCAAAUUUGAAAUCUGGCUUCGGCCCGAGUUGUAAUUUGCAGAGGAUGCUUCUGGCGCGGUGCCUUCCGAGUUCCCUGGAACGGGACGCCAUAGAGGGUGAGAGCCCCGUAUGGAUGGACACCAAGCCUGUGUGAAGCUCCUUCAACGAGUCGAGUAGUUUGGGAAUGCUGCUCUAAAUGGGAGGUAAAUCUCUUCUAAAGCUAAAUACCGGCCAGAGACCGAUAGCGCACAAGUAGAGUGAUCGAAAGAUGAAAAGCACCUUGAAAAGGGGGUUAAAUAGUACGUGAAAUUGUUGAAAGGGAAGCGCUUGUGACCAGACUUGCGCCAGGCGGCUCAUCCGGGGUUCUCCCCGGUGCACUCCGCCUGGCUCAGGCCAGCAUCGGUUCUUGUGGGGGGAUAAGACCAGUGGGAACGUAGCUCUCUACGGGGAGUGUUAUAGCCCAUUGUACGAUACCCUCGCGGGGACCGAGGACCGCGCUUCGGCAAGGAUGCUGACGUAAUGGUCACCAGCGACCCGUCUUGAAACACGGACCAAGGAGUCGUCCAUUAGAGCGAGCGUUUGGGUGUCAAACCCGCACGCGUAAUGAAAGUGAAAUUAGGUGAGAGCUUCGGCGCAUCAUCGACCGAUCCUGAUGUUCUCGGAUGGAUUUGAGUAAGAGUUUUAACGGACGGACCCGAAAGACAGUGAACUAUGCUUGUAUAGGGUGAAGCCAGAGGAAACUCUGGUGGAGGCUCGCAGCGGUUCUGACGUGCAAAUCGAUCGUCAAAUAUGAGCAUGGGGGCGAAAGACUAAUCGAA